rnacentral:rRNA from 1 species
UACGUAGGGUGCAAGCGUUAAUCGGAAUUACUGGGCGUAAAGCGUGCGCAGGCGGUUGUGCAAGACAGAUGUGAAAUCCCCGGGCUUAACCUGGGAACUGCAUUUGUGACUGCAUGGCAGGAGUGCGGCAGAGGGGGAUGGAAUUCCGCGUGUAGCAGUGAAAUGCGUAGAUAUGCGGAGGAACACCGAUGGCGAAGGCAAUCCCCUGGGCCUGCACUGACGCUCAUGCACGAAAGCGUGGGGAGCAAACAGG